GACAGAAAAGGGCCGUUUUAGUCGGAACAAUAGUAUCUCCGAGACUAUCAAUGGGCAAUUCGAAGUUCCUCCCUUCGAUUACCCUCCAUUGAAAUGCACUAUUAAUGAAAAUCAAGUAUACACAGAAUUUGAUAAUGACAUUGUUGAUGUUGAGAAAUAUGCAUUUGAAGAGACCCCACGUUCGUGUGACCAAUUGCGGGAUUUGGAGCAUAGGAUCAAUCAAUUGGAGAGGACGCCAAGAAGCACUGAUGGGGAUCUUUUCAAGAACAACAUACUUGAAAAAGUGAUAGUUGGUCAUUCCCCAAGGAGGAAUAGACAUCUUAGAAAGUUUUCAACUGAUAGUGUAGGAUCUCCCUUCAUUACAAAUAAAGAAAUUAACUCAGAUUUCAUCUCAGAUUCUCCAAGAUUUGGUGGGAGUAUUAGAAAAACAGAAUAUUCACAAACAGAAGAGCGUUCAAACUUGAGGAAGGUGGAUAAUUCAUCAGAAAUUGGAGAUGACAUGAGUGACCGAGUUUACACAAUUGAUUCUGUACAUCAGGGGGCUGGAUAUAAUGGUGUGUCAGAACUCAAGUCUUCAGCUGGAAUGGUUGACGACUAUACCCCAAGGGAUUCAUUAAAUAACACAGAUUUUGGAGAUCCAGAGGUCACAAAGUUGUAUUUUAGGCUCCAGGCACUUGAGGCUGACCGGGAAUCAAUGAGACAGGCUAUGAUUGCUAUGCGGACUGAUAAAGCACAGGUGAUAUUGCUCAAGGAGAUUGCUCAGCAGUUAUGCAAAGAGAUGUCUCCAGCCGUGAGAAAACCUGCAAAGAAGACAUCUGUAAUUGGGAGCUUUUCAUGCAUGUCUAUAUUCAAGUGGAUCACAUGCUUUGUUUUAUGGAGAAGAAAAGCACGCAGAUGCAAGUACCCAUUUGGAUCAUCGACCAACAAUCCAGGCUUGCUAAUGCUUUUAGACAAGGGACCUCAUGUGGAGCAGUGGAGAUGUCUGAUGAGCACGCAGGUGUAAAAACCAGCUCCAAGUAGUCCACAUCGAUCACUGAAGACUGUAACAUAAACGUCAGUACGAAAGGGAUUGUAGUCAGAUUGAUUGCUUUUUCAUUUUACUUUCUUUCUCCCCCUUGUAUUUCUUGCUGCAGCAAAUUGUGGGUUCACUCUGCACUGUGUUCU
rnacentral:misc_RNA from 1 species